CCUACGGGUGGCUGCAGUGGGGAAUAUUGGACAAUGGGGGGAACCCUGUUCCAGCCAUGCCGCGUGUGUGAAGAAGGCCCUCGGGUUGUAAAGCACUUUCAGUGAGGAAGAACGCCUGGUGGUUAAUACCCAUCAGGAAAGACAUCACUCACAGAAGAAGCACCGGCUAACUCCGUGCCAGCAGCCGCGGUAAUACGGAGGGUGCGAGCGUUAAUCGGAAUUACAGGGCGUAAAGCGCGCGUAGGUGGCUUGAUAAGCCGGUUGUGAAAGCCCCGGGCUCAACCUGGGAACGGCAUCCGGAACUGUCAAGCUAGAGUGCAGGAGAGGAAGGUAGAAUUCCCGGUGUAGCGGUGAAAUGCGUAGAGAUCGGGAGGAAUACCAGUGGCGAAGGCGGCCUUCUGGACUGACACUGACACUGAGGUGCGAAAGCGUGGGUAGCAAACAGGAUUAGAUACCCCAGUAGUC
rnacentral:rRNA from 1 species